GAUGAACGCUGGCGGCGUGCCUAAUACAUGCAAGUCGAGCGAACGGACGAGAAGCUUGCUUCUCUGAUGUUAGCGGCGGACGGGUGAGUAACACGUGGAUAACCUACCUAUAAGACUGGGAUAACUUCGGGAAACCGGAGCUAAUACCGGAUAAUAUUUUGAACCGCAUGGUUCAAAAGUAAAAGACGGUCUUGCUGUCACUUAUAGAUGGAUCCGCGCUGCAUUAGCUAGUUGGUAAGGUAACGGGUUACCAAGGCAACGAUGCAUAGCCGACCUGAGAGGGUGAUCGGCCACACUGGAACUGAGACACGGUCCAGACUCCUACGGGAGGCAGCAGUAGGGAAUCUGCCGCAAUGGGCGAAAGCCUGACGGAGCAACGGCGCGUGAGAUAUGAAGGUCUUCGGAUCGGAAAACUCUGUUAUUAGGGAAGAACAUAUGUGUAAGUAACUGUGCACAUCUUGACGGUACCGAAUCAGAAAGCCACGGCUAACUACGUG
rnacentral:rRNA from 1 species